rnacentral:rRNA from 1 species
GAUGAAGCGAACAAGGGCGCACGGUGGAUGUCUUGGUGUCGAGAGGCGAUGAAGGACGUUGGAACCUGCGAAAAGCCCGAAGGAGCCGGUAACCAGGCUGUGAUCUCGGGAUGUCCGAAUGGGGAAACCCACCUCUAACGAGGUAUCGUGCACUGAAUGCAUAGGUGUACGAAGCGAACCCGGGGAACUGAAACAUCUCAGUACCCGGAGGAAAGGAAAGCAACAGCGACUCCGUGAGUAGCGGCGAGCGAAAGCGGAUCAGCCGGAUGAGAGCUGAAUGGGUUGGAAUGCCCAGCCAGAGAAGGUGAAAGCCCUGUAACUGGAAUCCGGUCAGCCACAGAGUAGGGUCGGGCUCGUGAAACCCGGCUUGAACAUGGGGGGUCCACCCUCCAAGGCUAAGUACUCCUCGACAACCGAUAGUGAAACAGUAAGGUGACUGAAAGAUGACAAGCACCGCGAUGAGCGGGGUGAAAGAGUACCUGAAACCGUGCGCCUACAUGCUGUCGGAGCCUCCCGUUUUACGGGGGUGACGGCGUGCUUUUUGCAUAAUGAGCCCGCGAGUUAGUCUCAGUGGCGAGC